rnacentral:lncRNA from 1 species
GAAGGCUGGAGUCGGAAGCAAGCAAAUAAGGGAAAAUUUAGCAGCAAUGGUUGUAGAGGCUAAUCAAUAAUUAGAAGGAAGGCCAUUUUCCUUGGCUUGAACAUAUAUAUUAUAGGCUGGAGACAACUCUAGCAAGAAGGGAGGUCAAAAAAAUUGGAAGGGUUACAAAGAAAACUUGGAUAGAAAUAUCAAGACAUGGC